GCUUUCAUCUUCCCUGCCAAUCUGGCUGCAGUUUGGAUGAACGCCUUAUCUUCCUUCACAGGUUUCUAGGGGAGAGUUUAGCCAGGUAUCAGGUGUGAGCAUGGCUCUGAUUUUAUAUAAACCUGACGACCAGGGAAGAGAAGCAUGAUCUGUUCUCGUGCCUCGGGCUGGUUAAGAUUUCUCCUUGUUUAAAACACGGAGAACUGAUUUCUCAAAGACUCUUCUGUUCCCCUUCUACUCUGGCUUUGGUUCAGAGCUGUAGGUAGC
rnacentral:lncRNA from 1 species